CAAAGGAGUGAUCCGGCAGAGGAUGGACAUGCGGCGCAUUAGCUAGUCGGCGGGGUAACGGCCCACCGAGGCUACGAUGCGUAGGGGUUCUGAGAGGAAGGUCCCCCACACUGGUACUGAGACACGGACCAGACUCCUACGGGAGGCAGCAGUGAGGAAUAUUGGUCAAUGGGCGGAAGCCUGAACCAGCCAAGUCGCGUGAGGGAAGACGGUCCUAUGGAUUGUAAACCUCUUUUGCAGGGGAACAAGGCGCGGUACGUGUACCGCGAAGGAGAGUACCCUGAGAAAAAGCAUCGGCUAACUCCGUGCCAGCAGCCGCGGUAAUACGGAGGAUGCGAGCGUUAUCCGGAUUUAUUGGGUUUAAAGGGUGCGCAGGCGGACUGUUAAGUCAGCGGUAAAAUGUCGGUGCUCAACACCGGCCGGCCGUUGAAACUGGCAGCCUUGAGUGAGCGAGAAGUAUGCGGAAUGCGUGGUGUAGCGGUGAAAUGCAUAGAUAUCACGCAGAACUCCGAUUGCGAAGGCAGCAUACCGGCGCUCAACUGACGCUCAGGCACGAAAGCGUGGGUAUAGAACAGGCUUAGAUACCCUGGUAGUCCACGCAGUAAACGAUGAAUGCUCACUGUCCGGGCCGUUUAAGGCCUGG
rnacentral:rRNA from 1 species